ACUUUCUUAGUAUAGCUAGUACACUUGACUUCCAAUCAAACAGCUCUAGAAGACCCUAGAAGAAAGUA
rnacentral:tRNA from 1 species